UACGUAGGGUGCAAGCGUUGUCCGGAAUUAUUGGGCGUAAAGAGCUCGUAGCGGUUUGUCGCGUCUGCUGUGAAAACCCGAGGCUCAACCUCGGGCCUGCAGUGGGUACGGGGCAGACUAGAGUGCGGUAGGGGAGAUUGGAAUUCCUGGUGUAGCGGUGGAAUGCGCAGAUAUCAGGAGGAACACCAAUGGCGAAGGCAGAUCUCUGGGCCGUAACUGACGCUGAGGAGCGAAAGCAUGGGGAGCGAACAGG
rnacentral:rRNA from 1 species